ACAUUAACACAAGCCAACAAUGUCAUAGGAGCAUCCAUGUGUCAAUUUUGCCCCAAACAUUACACUGAAUCAUGAAGGUCAACGCAUCUAAAGGACCAAAAUUCGUCAUUAGUGCUUUUUGGAGAUGUAUGCUAAUUCUUUAUCACGCAUGACUUUGUAAAUGUCAGUAAAACAAAAUGCAAUUGUCUUUA